UACGGGGGGGGGCAAGCGUUGUUCGGAAUUACUGGGCGUAAAGGGCUCGUAGGCGGCCAACUAAGUCGGAUGUGAAAUCCCCAGGCUUAACCUGGGAACUGCAUCCGAUACUGGAUGGCUUGAAUCCGGGAGAGGGAUGCGGAAUUCCAGGUGUAGCGGUGAAAUGCGUAGAUAUCUGGAGGAACACCGGUGGCGAAGGCGGCAUCCUGGACCAACACUGACACUGAGGAGCGAAAGCCAGGGGAGCAAACGGG
rnacentral:rRNA from 1 species